CGUAGUUGGAUUUCUGCCGAGGACGACCGGUCCGCCCACUGGGUGUGCAUCUGGCUCGGCCUGGGCAUCUUCUUGGAGAACGUAUCUGCACUUCACUGUGUGGUGCGGUAUCCAGGACUUUUACUUUGAGGAAAUUAGAGUGUUUAAAGCAGGCUUAUGCCGUUGAAUAUAUUAGCAUGGAAUAAUAAGAUAGGACUUUGAGUCUAUUUUGUUGGUUUGCGAGUCAAAGUAAUGA
rnacentral:rRNA from 1 species